rnacentral:rRNA from 1 species
CACGUAGGGGGCGAGCGUUGUCCGGAUUUAUUGGGCGUAAAGAGCUCGUAGGCGGUUUCGUAAGUCGGGUGUGAAAACCCCAGGCUCAACCUGGGGACGCCACCCGAUACUGCGAUGACUAGAGUCCGGUAGGGGAGUGUGGAAUUCCUGGUGUAGCGGUGAAAUGCGCAGAUAUCAGGAGGAACACCAACGGCGAAGGCAGCACUCUGGGCCGGAACUGACGCUGAGGCGCGAAAGCCAGGGGAGCAAACGGG